CACACACCCUCUCUCUGGCUCAUACACACACACUCUGCUCCGUGAGGGAGCAGUCGCUGAAGAGCUCUGGAUAGACCAUGCGUGCUUCUGCAGGUGUCCCACCCUUCUCCCACCACAUGGAUGCUUCAGAAGUGUACUCUGAAGGGAGAAAGAAACAGCGGGAGGAAGCAGCGGAUGAAAGAAGACAUCCACAAAGAUCCCGCGUCCGACUCCAAACGUGGAAGUCGUAGUUACAUGUGCUUGUUGGGGUCAAAGGCUGAAGGCUGGUGAGUGGUGACCUUAGGGAGAGGCCUGGGUGCGAUCUGACCCCUGAGUGGAUGUGCGGGCUGACUCUGGAGGAUGCAGCGCAACAAAGGGCGGCACGUGCCUCGUCGUCGUCACCAUGGUAACAUAGGACCUUUUUGGAACGUGAAGAACAGGACUGAGGGGAAUAUGCUUCCAUCUUCUCUUUCAUCAGUCUUGGACACCAUCUUCUAUUAAUCUUGCAAAAAAAAAUACUUUGAGUAAUCAAGGUCUUUACUUCAAUGUCUCUGGUGAAUAUGUUAUCUAAAUAGCUUUCUAAAUAAAAUAAACUUUCAGUGAAGAGUCAAGCAUUUGCCCAAUUAUUUCUUGUUCUUGG
ensembl:lncRNA